GUUAGCGACCGCAGCCGCCGCUAGGGGCGCUAGUGUCGUUAUUUUUAGAAUUGCGGACGAUUUUGGGUCACGGACAGGCCGACGUUUAAGGUCCAAGUACGCAUAUUUUGACCAAAUGUAUGCGAUUUUUUUUUAUGGUGUCGCGUCGUACACAUGUUCAAGUGCGCGUAUUUCGCAAAACUAGCAUCUGACCACGAAAGAUGAAAAAACGACGAGAUUCCUGCUACAAGGGUUGAAGAAUGCCUCAUCUCGAAGAAAAUACUGUGGAAGAUAAAUAUGAGAACUUGUUAUGACUGUCUAUGAUAACAUGUCAAUAACCUAUUCACAAUUAAUACUGGGAAUUGGUUAAAUCUCAUAAUUGAUGAUUGAUUCAUUACAACCGAUCAAUCAUCGAAAAUAAUUGGUUUUCGCCAUUUAUCAAAUCUUCCUGACUGUGUGCUUUAAUG